rnacentral:misc_RNA from 1 species
CAGCCGGGUAAUUCCAGCUCCAAUAGCGUAUAUUAAAGUUGUUGCAGUUAAAAAGCUCGUAGUUGAAUUUCGGGAUUGGCGCAUCGGUCGUGCCUCACGGGGUAUGAACUGGUGCAGUCAAUUUCUCACCUUCUGGAGAACCGCGAUGUCCUUAAUUGGAUGCCGCGGGGAACCAGGACCUUUACUUUGAAAAAAUUAGAGUGUUUAAAGCAGGCAUUUUUGCUUGACUACAUUAGCAUGGAAUAAUAAAAUAGGACGGCAUGGUUCUAUUUUGUUGGUUUCUAGGACCACCGUAAUGAUUAAUAGGGAUAGUUGGGGGCAUUAGUAUUCAAUUGUCAGAUGUGAAAUUCUUGGAUUUAUUGAAGACUAACUACUGCGAAAGCAUUUGCCAAGGAUGUUUUCAUUAAUCAAGAACGAAAGUUAGGGGAUCGAAGACGAUCAGAUACCGUCGUAGUCUUAACCAUAAACUAUGCCGACUAGGAAUCAGACGAUGUUAAUUUUUUAAUGACUCGUUUGGCACCUUACG